GCCAGAGUGGUGUAGUGGUUUGAGUGUUGGAAUACAACUCUAGAGAUCAGGGUUCGAAUCCCAGCUGAGCCA